GAUGAAGAACGUAGCGAAAUGCGAUAAGUAAUGUGAAUUGCAGAAUUCAGUGAAUCAUCGAAUCUUUGAACGCACAUUGCGCCCGCCAGCAUUCUGGCAGGCAUGCCUGUUCGAGCGUCAUUUCAACCCUCGAGCCCCCCCGGGGGCCUCGGUGUUGGGGGACGGCACACCAGCCGCCCCCGAAAUGCAGUGGCGACCCCGCCGCAGCCUCCCCUGCGUAGUAGCACACACCUCGCACCGGAGCGCGGAGGCGGUCACGCCGUAAAACGCCCAACUUUCUUAGAGUUGACCUCGGAUCAGGUAGGAAUACCCGCUGAACUUAAGCAUAUCAAUAAGCGGAGGA
rnacentral:misc_RNA from 1 species